rnacentral:rRNA from 1 species
GAUGAACGCUGGCGGCGUGCCUAAUACAUGCAAGUCGAGCGAACGGACGAGAAGCUUGCUUCUCUGAUGUUAGCGGCGGACGGGUGAGUAACACGUGGAUAACCUACCUAUAAGACUGGGAUAACCUCGGGAAACCGGAGCUAAUACCGGAUGAUAUUUUGAACCGCAUGGUUCAAAAGUGAAAGACGGUCUUGCUGUCACUUAUAGAUGGAUCCGCGCUGCAUUAGCUAGUUGGUAAGGUAACGGCUUACCAAGGCAACGAUGCAUAGCCGACCUGAGAGGGUGAUCGGCCACACUGGAACUGAGACACGGUCCAGACUCCUACGGGAGGCAGCAGUAGGGAAUCUUCCGCAAUGGGCGAAAGCCUGACGGAGCAACGCCGCGUGAGUGAUGAAGGUCUUCGGAUCGUAAAACUCUGUUAUUAGAGAAGAACAUAUGUGUAAGUAACUGUGCACAUCUUGACGGUACCUAAUCAGAAAGCCACGGCUAACUACGUG